GGAGGAAUACCCAAGUCUGGCUGAAGGGAUCGGUCUUGAAAACCGACAAAGGUGUCAAAGUCCGCGGGGGUUCAAGUCCCUUCAUCUACGCCA
rnacentral:tRNA from 1 species